rnacentral:rRNA from 1 species
UGCAGUCGAGGGGUAGGCUCAUUUCGGUGAGUACACGACCGGCGCACGGGUGCGUAACGCGUAUGCAACCUACCUUUAACAGAGGGAUAGCCCGAAGAAAUUCGGAUUAAUACCUCAUAACACUGCAAAAUGGCAUCAUUUAGCAGUUAAAACUCCGGUGGUUAAAGAUGGGCAUGCGUGACAUUAGAUAGUUGGUGAGGUAACGGCUCACCAAGUCUACGAUGUCUAGGGGUUCUGAGAGGAUGAUCCCCCACACUGGUACUGAGACACGGACCAGACUCCUACGGGAGGCAGCAGUAAGGAAUAUUGGUCAAUGGGCGCAAGCCUGAACCAGCCAUGCCGCGUGCAGGAAGACGGCCUUAUGGGUUGUAAACUGCUUUUAUAAAGGGAUAAACCCCCCAACGUGUUGGGGGCUGAAGGUACUUUAUGAAUAAGCACCGGCUAACUCCGUGCCAGCAGCCGCGGUAAU